rnacentral:rRNA from 1 species
GAGAAUGACGAUUUUUUUAUCUAUAAGUCUUGACCAAAUUACGUGCCAGCAGUCGCGGUAAUACGUAGAAGACAAGUGUUAUUCAUCUUUAUUCGGUAUAAAGGGUACCUAGACAGAUUACCAAGCCUUAAUAGGGACUAGUUUUCUAGAGUUUUAUGUGGGAAUAUACGAAUUACCAGAGAAGGGACAAAAUCCUAUUAUACUGGUAGGACGGGUAACGGCGAAGGCUUUAUUCUAAGUAAAAACUGACGUUGAGGGACGAAGCCUAGGGUAGCGAUAAGGAUUCGAUACCCUAGUAGUCCUAGGAGAAAAUUAUGAGUGCCAUAGGCUAGGUAAAUUUAGCCUAUAAAUGAAAGUGUAAGCACUCCACCUCAUGACUAAGGCGGAAAUGCACAAAUUGAAAUCAUUAGACCGUUUCUGAAACCAGUAGUGAAGUAUGUUAUUUAAUUCGAUAAUCCGCGAAUAACCUUACCACGUCUUGAAUAGUAUGUCACAAUACAAGUGCUGCACGGCUGUCUUCAGUUAAUGUCGUGAGACUUUGGUUAAUUCCUUUAAUUAACGA